rnacentral:rRNA from 1 species
CCCCUAGAUGUUCUGGGCCGCACGCGCGCUACACUGAACAGUUCAACAAGUCUUAACCUUGGCCGAUAGGUCUGGGUAAUCUUUGAACGCUGUUCGUGAUUGGGAUAGACCUUUGCAAUUAUGGGUCUUCAACGAGGAAUUCCUAGUAAACGCAAGUCAUCAGCUUGCAUUGAUUACGUCCCUGCCCUUUGUACACACCGCCCGUCGCACCUACCGAUUGAAUGGUCCGGUGAAAUCUCGGGACGGCGGCUUGGUCGCUUGCGUCCGACUGCUGAAAAUUGAUUAAACCAUAUCAUUUAGAGGAAGGUGAAGUCGUAACA